rnacentral:lncRNA from 1 species
GCUAAUCACGAAGAAUGGUGCACACACGAAGCCGGGGUGCUCCUCUGGAAUCCGCAUCGACCAUCGAACAUUUCCAACCAAAACGGCGGUUUUCUCACCACUGACAGCUGUGUCACCUCCGUCGCUUUUCACCCCCAGAGGGCGUCGGUUUUGGUGGCAGGCACGGUGCACGGAGACAUCCUGCUCUGGGACAUGCAAAACGCAAGCGAUCAGUGGGCCUCGUCUCCAACAGUGAUGCAUGACAAUCACCGAGACUUGGUCAAGUGCACUGACUGGAUCGGACACGCUCAAGAAUCGAACUGCCUGCUGAGCUGUGGGUUGGACGGCCUGGUUAUCCAAUGGAGGUACGAUUCCCGAAAGAGUCACCUAGAAGCCAUCAACUACUUCUUAGUGCUUGCCGAAAACGUACGACUCCACAAACAGAUUCCCAGCGGAGCAAGCGGCGCACAUG